GAACGGGUGAGUAACACGUGGGUAAUCUGCCCUCGAUACUGGGAUAGCCCGGGGAAACCCGGAUUAAUACCGGAUAGCCUCUCGAGCUCUCGGGCUCGUGAGAAAAGGUAGCUUCGGCCUCCGAUCGAGGAUGAGCCCGCGGCGGAUUAGCUUGUUGGUGGGGUAAUGGCCUACCAAGGCGACGAUCCGUAGCUGGUCUGAGAGGACGAUCAGCCACACUGGGACUGAGACACGGCCCAGACUCCUACGGGAGGCAGCAGUGGGGAAUCUUGCCCAAUGGGCGAAAGCCUGAGGCAGCGACGCCGCGUGAGGGAAGAAGGCCCUAGGGUUGUAAACCUCUUUCAGCAGGGACGAAGCCACUCGGGUGAAUAGCCCAGAGGGUGACGGUACCUGCAGAAGAAGCCCCGGCUAACUACGUGCCAGCAGCCGCGG
rnacentral:rRNA from 1 species